rnacentral:rRNA from 1 species
GACGAACGCUGUCGGCGUGCUUAACACAUGCAAGUCGAACGGAAAGGCCCUGCUUUUGUGGGGUGCUCGAGUGGCGAACGGGUGAGUAACACGUGAGUAACCUGCCCUUGACUUUGGGAUAACUUCAGGAAACUGGGGCUAAUACCGGAUAGGAGCUCCUGCUGCAUGGUGGGGGUUGGAAAGUUUCGGCGGUUGGGGAUGGACUCGCGGCUUAUCAGCUUGUUGGUGGGGUAGUGGCUUACCAAGGCUUUGACGGGUAGCCGGCCUGAGAGGGUGACCGGCCACAUUGGGACUGAGAUACGGCCCAGACUCCUACGGGAGGCAGCAGUGGGGAAUAUUGCACAAUGGGCGGAAGCCUGAUGCAGCAACGCCGCGUGCGGGAUGACGGCCUUCGGGUUGUAAACCGCUUUCGCCUGUGACGAAGCGUGAGUGACGGUAAUGGGUAAAGAAGCACCGGCUAACUACGUGCCAGCAGCCGCGGUGAUACGUAGGGUGCGAGCGUUGUCCGGAUUUAUUGGGCGUAAAGGGCUCGUAGGUGGUUGAUCGCGUCGGAAGUGUAAUCUUGGGGCUUAACCCUGAGCGUGCUUUCGAUACGGGUUGACUUGAGGAAGGUAGGGGAGAAUGGAAUUCCUGGUGGAGCGGUGGAAUGCGCAGAUAUCAGGAGGAACACCAGUGGCGAAGGCGGUUCUCUGGGCCUUUCCUGACGCUGAGGAGCGAAAGCGUGGGGAGCGAACAGGCUUAGAUACCCUGGUAGUCCACGCUGUAAACGGUGGGUACUAGGUGUGGGGUCCAUUCCACGGGUUCCGUGCCGUAGCUAACGCUUUAAGUACCCCGCCUGGGGAGUACGGCCGCAAGGCUAAAACUCAAGGGAAUUGACGGGGCCCCGCACAAGCGGCGGAGCAUGCGGAUUAAUUCGAUGCAACGCGUAGAACCUUACCUGGGUUUGACAUGGAUCGGGAGUGCUCAGAGAUGGGUGUGCCUCUUUUGGGGUCGGUUCACAGGUGGUGCAUGGCUGUCGUCAGCUCGUGUCGUGAGAUGUUGGGUUAAGUCCCGCAACGAGCGCAACCCUUGUUCACUGUUGCCAGCACGUUAUGGUGGGGACUCAGUGGAGACCGCCGGGGUCAACUCGGAGGAAGGUGGGGAUGACGUCAAGUCAUCAUGCCCCUUAUGUCCAGGGCUUCACGCAUGCUACAAUGGCUGGUACAGAGAGUGGCGAGCCUGUGAGGGUGAGCGAAUCUCGGAAAGCCGGUCUCAGUUCGGAUUGGGGUCUGCAACUCGACCUCAUGAAGUCGGAGUCGCUAGUAAUCGCAGAUCAGCAACGCUGCGGUGAAUACGUUCCCGGG